GAUGAACGCUGGCGGCGUGCCUAAUACAUGCAAGUCGAGCGGAGCGGGGACGGGUGAGUAACAAAUGGAUAGCCUCUUAUCAGACUGGGAUAACUUCGGGAAACCAGAGCUAAACCGGCUACUUAUUGCUGAAUCCGCGCUGCAUUAGCGAGUUGGUAAGGUAACGGCUUACCAAGGCAACGAUGCAUAGCCGACCUGAGAGGGUGAUCGGCCACACUGGAACUGAGACACGGUCCAGACUCCUACGGGAGGCAGCAGUAGGGAAUCUUCCGCAAUGGGCGAAAGCCUGACAGAGCAACGCCGCGUGAGUGAUGAAGGUCUUCGGAUCGUAAAACUCUGUUAUUAGGGAAGCGGUACCUAAUCAGAAAGCCACGGCUAACUACGUGCCAGCAGCCGCGGUAAUUC
rnacentral:rRNA from 1 species